UGUCCAGAAGUAAAACCAUACAUUGAGUAUGUAUUUAUAAUAUAAAUUUAUAUCUUUUUACAUUGAAUUAUUUAUAACCAAUAAUGAUAGAAGAAGAUUAUAAUGUUUCUAAAUCUAUAUUAAUUUAUUCUUUUUAUUCUUUUAAACAUUUUUGUUGAUGAGUUACGACAUGUGCAUCCAUAAAUCACUGAGGCAGACGUUGAUAA
rnacentral:lncRNA from 1 species